UACGGAGGGUGCAAGCGUUAUCCGGAUUUACUGGGUUUAAAGGGUGCGCAGGCGGACUUUUAAGUCAGAGGUGAAGUCUCCGGGCUCAACCCGGAAACUGCCUUUGAUACUAUUGGUCUUGAAUAUCGUUGAGGUAGGCGGAAUACAUCAUGUAGCGGUGAAAUGCUUAGAUAUGAUGUAGAACACCGAUUGCGAAGGCAGCUUACUAAACGAUUAUUGACGCUCAGGCACGAAAGCGUGGGGAGCAAACAGG
rnacentral:rRNA from 1 species